rnacentral:rRNA from 1 species
AGAGUUUGAUCCUGGCUCAGAACGAACGCUGGCGGCGCGCCUAAUACAUGCAAGUCGAGCGAGAAGGUGUAGCAAUACACUUGUAAAGCGGCGAACGGGUGAGGAAUGCAUGGGUAACCUACCCUCGAGUGGGGAAUAACUAGCCGAAAGGUUAGCUAAUACCGCAUACGUUUCCGGGACCUCGGUUCCGGAAAGAAAGCAAUACCGUGGGUAUUGCGCUCAUGGAUGGGCUCAUGUCCUAUCAGCUUGUUGGUGAGGUAACGGCUCACCAAGGCUUCGACGGGUAGCUGGUCUGAGAGGACGAUCAGCCACACUGGCACUGCGACACGGGCCAGACUCCUACGGGAGGCAGCAGUAAGGAAUAUUGCGCAAUGGACGAAAGUCUGACGCAGCGACGCCGCGUGGGGGAUGAAGGUCUUCGGAUUGUAAACCCCUUUCGGGAGGGAAGAUGGAGUGGGUAACCACUUGGACGGUACCUCCAGAAGCAGCCACGGCUAACUUCGUGCCAGCAGCCGCGGUAAUACGAAGGUGGCAAGCGUUGUUCGGAUUCACUGGGCGUACAGGGAGCGUAGGCGGUUGGGUAAGCCCUCCGUGAAAUCUCCGGGCCUAACCCGGAAAGUGCAGAGGGGACUGCUCAGCUAGAGGAUGGGAGAGGAGCGCGGAAUUCCCGGUGUAGCGGUGAAAUGCGUAGAGAUCGGGANNNNNNNNNCGCGAAGAACCUUACCCAGGCUGGACAUGCAGGUAGUAGAAGGGUGAAAGCCCAACGAGGUAGAAAUACCAUCCUGCUCAGGUGCUGCAUGGCUGUCGUCAGCUCGUGCCGUGAGGUGUUGGGUUAAGUCCCGCAACGAGCGCAACCCCUGUCUUCAGUUACUAACAGGUCAAGCUGAGAACUCUGGAGAGACUGCCCAGGAGAACGGGGAGGAAGGUGGGGAUGACGUCAAGUCAGCAUGGCCUUUAUGCCUGGGGCUACACACGUGCUACAAUGGCCGGUACAAAGGGCUGCAAACCCGCAAGGGGGAGCCAAUCCCAAAAAACCGGCCUCAGUUCAGAUUGGGGUCUGCAACUCGACCCCAUGAAGGCGGAAUCGCUAGUAAUCGCGGAUCAGAACGCCGCGGUGAAUACGUUCCCGGGCCUUGUACACACCGCCCGUCACACCACGAAAGUUUGUUGUACCUGAAGUCGUUGCGCCAACCGCAAGGAGGCAGGCGCCCACGGUAUGACCGAUGAUUGGGGUGAAGUCGUAACAAGGUAGCCGUAGGGGAACCUGCGGCUG